UACGGGGGGGGCAAGCGUUGUUCGGAAUUACUGGGCGUAAAGGGUUCGUAGGUGGCCAACUAAGUCAGACGUGAAAUCCCUCAGCUUAACUGGGGAACUGCGUCUGAGACUGGAUGGCUCGAGUGCAGGAGAGGAACGCGGAAUUCCAGGUGUAGCGGUGAAAUGCGUAGAUAUGCGGAGGAACACCGAUGGCGAAGGCAAUCCCCUGGGCCUGCACUGACGCUCAUGCACGAAAGCGUGGGGAGCAAACAGG
rnacentral:rRNA from 1 species